rnacentral:rRNA from 1 species
UACGAAGGGGGCUAGCGUUGUUCGGAAUCACUGGGCGUAAAGCGCACGUAGGCGGAUCCUUAAGUCGGGGGUGAAAUCCCGAGGCUCAACCUCGGAACUGCCUUUGAUACUGGGGAUCUUGAGUCCGGGAGAGGUGAGUGGAAUUGCGAGUGUAGAGGUGAAAUUCGUAGAUAUUCGCAAGAACACCAGUGGCGAAGGCGGCAUCCUGGACCGGUAUUGACGCUGAGGCGCGAAAGCUAGGGGAGCAAACGGG